CAGUGUAGGGAUCGCCGCGUUCGAUCCCUGCGGCGUGACCUGGGACCGGCGCCCAGGUGGUCCAGAGAGCUUCAGGCCCCCCAGCCCGGGAGCCCUAGCCGUGAGCGAAAGGAGAGUGCUCGCUGGACACAGGCCGCGACGCGGGCCGCGGGGCGCCGAGCGAAGUUUGGCCACUCGCGGCCCCCGUAUCGGACGGAAGCGGAGUCCCUUGGACUGGACCUUACUGAUUUGUGCUGUCCCUGGAAGGUUCCCAGGGCCCUUUCACACAAUUUGAUAGUGGGGAUUCGAAAUAGGUGGAGAAAAGAGCCAUGAGGUACGGAGUCAGAAGCACCCACGCCUCAGCGGGCCGUGGCCGUCCAAUCUAGGGAGCCACUACCUGAGGGCUUCCUAUUCGUGGGUAAAUAAGCCCCCUUCCCACAGACGGCUGGGCUCCAUUGCUGUGGAAUCUGGGUUUCUUUGCCAUUCUCAUUCUGUCACCGCCGAGGUUGUUAGGGCCAUUGAUUCUAGGGCUCCCCGCAGCCCAGAUCCUGCCUAACUCUUCCGCCUAUUCAGACCGUACCAUUCAGACCGUGCCAUUCGUGUUCUCAGAAGACUGAUCUUGUCUUCACAAAUAUGAAGAAAGUGAGUGGUGUCUUGGUGCUAGACAUGCUCUAAAUGCUACUGCCUGUUUCCACAAAGCAAAAAGCCCAUGUGCCAACAGCUUGUACACGCUCAACACUCCUGCCUCUUACAGUCUUAAAAUUAUGCUAUGAGUACCUGAGACCCUACAACACUGCCUUUAUGAUAACAGAGCAUCAGAAAUGGAAAGAAUACAACACAUUUGAAGAGAGAAAGUUUCUUGGCAAAGAGGCUAAAGAAUAGGACUGAGAGUUGUAAAUCUGUGCUUUGCUUUCAGUACCUCAGCAGAGCAAGCCUUUUCAAUUUUUCAGUUUUGGAAGAAUGUUCAGUUUUGAAAGAAAUCUUAAGCAGAUAACAGCAAGCCAAGAGGGGCCUGAAGUAGUGCCCACUUUCUGUGGUCUGUGGGGCUCCUUGGGACCUGUAGGCUCCCCGGGCCAUCAUUUAAAACUGUUGGUCCAGAGUUAGCACAAAAUAAGAAUCAAAGAUUGGGCAAGUAAAGGCACUUGCCACCAAGUCUGACAAUCUUUUUGAU